UUUUAUAUUGUGGCUGUCUUAGCUUCCAUGGGUAAUGCUGGUGUGAGAUUUUCCUUUUGAUUCUAAAAUGGAUCAUUCAAAUUAUUGGCAGUUUGUAUUUGUUGAAAUGCCUUCAUUUUAUAGUUUUGCUUCUUAAACAAAUCCGAUGAUGGAUGAUUUAUUUAUGUCAAACACAAUGGUUAGAAAUAUUUUGAUAUUCGAGUUUUUACCUUUUGAAUUUGGAUUAUGAAAUGAUUCGGGGGGAAAUAAGUGCCACAGUGGCACCCUUAUCAAAUAUUUUGCAUUUUUGGGGAUAUUUACUUAAAUGUCCUGGAAUAUGAGCCAUUUCAUGUGAGUGUACUGGCUGCUCAAUUUGACCAUAAAUUUAGUUAUUAAAGAUUGUUGUGAGAUUAUAAUUACUUAAAUAGAGGAAAGGAAAAUUUGGACUUAAUCAACCAUGUUAAAAAUAUGUAAAUUUUUUUUUUCUGAAAAUUUAUGGUUUAUUUUUUUAGCACUGCAACAGAUUAAUAUACACCUUUUAACUCUAGGAAACAUUCGUAGAUUUAUUGGGAUCAAUCAUUCAUUUGUUGUUGGUUUUUCUUACUUAGGAUUCAAACUGAGGCAUGCUUAUUUUCAAUUGUUUCAAAUGAAUUUGUAAACUGUGUCUGUCAAUUUUAUGAUUAAGAAUUUCUUUUCUCUCUUAUUUUCUUCCCUCCUCCCUCUUUUCAAAAGUCUUUCCCUAUAGCCUCUAACAUAGGUUCUCAUCCAAGCCACAUCCAUCCAUGUGAUACACCUUUUGGCAUUCAAAGCAGAGAAACAAUCUAAUAUAGCAAGUCCUUAAAACCACUGGUCUAACUGAGACAUUCAGACUGGUUUUUUUAUUUGAAACUCAUUUAACUUUGGAGGGGUCGCCAAGUUGGAGUCAUGGAGAUAAAAUUUGGAAACAAAAGGUCUUAAAAUAAGUAGAACAAAGACGGAGUAUGUGGUGUGUAACUUUAGUUAUACUUGAACAGUUAAUGAGAUAGUGGAUAUCGUGAGAGGGUUAUCCCUCGAAGUGGUUAUUUUAGGUAUCUAGGCUCAAACAUGAAG